AUCCUUUUGUAGUUCAUAUGUAUGAUGAUCAGGUGCUCACGCUCUUAUGUGUAUUGUGUCUCACCUCCCUCAAACCUUCAUAUGACAUCAACAUAUUACCCAUCUGAUG
ensembl:snoRNA